rnacentral:rRNA from 1 species
UCGGGCCUGGCGCGAUUGGAUGAGCCCAUGUUCGAUUAGCUAGUUGGCGGGGUAAAAGCCCACCAAGGCGACGAUCGAUAGCUGGUCUGAGAGGAUGAUCAGCCACACUGGAACUGAGACACGGUCCAGACUCCUACGGGAGGCAGCAGUAGGGAAUAUUGGACAAUGGGCGCAAGCCUGAUCCAGCCAUGCCGCGUGAGUGAAGAAGGCCCUCGGGUUGUAAAGCUCUUUUGUUGGGGAAGAAAAGCAUUCGGCUAAUACCCGGGUGUCCUGACGGUACCCAAAGAAUAAGCACCGGCUAACUUCGUGCCAGCAGCCGCGGUAAUACGAAGGGUGCAAGCGUUACUCGGAAUUACUGGGCGUAAAGCGUGCGUAGGUGGUUCGUUAAGUCUGAUGUGAAAGCCCUGGGCUCAACCUGGGAAUGGCAUUGGAUACUGGCGGGCUAGAGUGCGGUAGAGGGUAGUGGAAUUCCCGGUGUAGCAGUGAAAUGCGUAGAGAUCGGGAGGAACAUCCGUGGCGAA